AUUGGAAUGGACCAGCACCUUACUCGCAUCUGGUGUUAAGUAGGCGCGCAAUGUUUUUGAGAUGGAAGCGACAGGAUUUGGUGACAGACUGAACAUGAGGCUUGAAAGAGAGGUCAAGUCAAAGAGAACACCUAGGCAGCGAGCCUGCGUGGUGGAGCUGAUGGUAGCACUGUUGACUUGGAGGGAGACAGACACAGGAGUAACAACACUUGAGGGAGGAAAGACCAGAAUUUCAGCUUUGGUUUAAGGAAAUAGGCAGCCAUCCAGUUAGAAAUAGC